UAUUUUAUAGAUUUUGUGUGAACACAUGAAUAUCUGUGAAUGAGAAUAUAAUAAUUUAGGAUUCUAGUAAUAAUAAUUGAGCUUAAACAUUUUGAGUCGAUGGUUUAAACCCAAUAAAUUAUAAUACUUGCAAAUGGGUCAUUAUAUUUCGUAUCAGAGGCGAAUAGCAGCCGUAAGUGUGAAGGCUAAGUGUUAUGUAGGAUUAAGUGUUACGCCAUAGGUUUGGUAGGAGCUACCUCUAGAAUCUCAGAUCGUUUGAUAAUUUCGGUCUAUGUGUGAGUGGUCGGGUCUGAACUUGAUGAGUACGUCAGGAUAUAAACGGGCCAGAGUUUGUAACAACCUAAAUAGUCCAACAACGGAUGAGAAAGAGUUUGUGUAUAGGAUUUAGCAAUAAUAACUAGAUUUAAGCAUUUUGAGCAUCAGUCUAGCAGAUCGGGUUGUUACAAUACAUGAACAUCUUAUUCACUCUAUUUUUUUAAAUUUAGACUCUAUUUGGUAUGUUGAAAUAGGUUUUUCGAAGAUAACUUAUUCUGUAUGAUAAUUUUCUAAUAUGAUUAUAAGUAAGGGGGUUUGAUUUUUUGCUUCUUUUAAGAUCUUGCUAACUAUGAUUUAGUAGGAUAAUAUAUUUUAUCUAUGAGAUGAUUU
rnacentral:lncRNA from 1 species